rnacentral:sRNA from 1 species
GCGAUGCGGGACAAACCAAUGGUGUAUUUUUA